rnacentral:lncRNA from 1 species
CAACUGAUGAUCUACAUCUAUAACAAAUUGUAACAAAAAGGGGGAAAUUAGGAAUAAAUCUAUUCUAGAUUUACGUGACAUAGUUUUGUUGGUCCAGGUAUAACCCUUUGCAUCUGGAUUGAAAUAACGCCAGGCAUCCUCAACACAGAGAUCCUUGCAUAAUGUAGUGAUAAUAUUGCUAUUUUGAGGGCUUUGACUCGUUCUAGGAGGAAAAUGAUCAGCAGAUGCAUCAGGUCUUUCAUUAAAAUCCCCUGAAAUAAUUAGAAAAGCCUCUGAGUAUUUGUUGCUUAAAUCCUGUACUUUCCUGGUAAAUUGGGUAAAAAGGGUUUUAUUUGGAGAAUGUGAGUUAUGUCCAUACACAUUACAAAUUAUGAAAAUAGCAGUCAAGUUUAACAGUUACUAUGACCCAUCUCCCAUCUUGUGAAGAUGUGGAUUCUCGAACGUCACCUUUAAACUUGUGAAUAAGUGUCAAAACACCAGCAGAAUGACUUGAUCCAUGACUGAAAUAGGCCAUAUCUCCCCAUUGUGAUUUCCAAAAUUUCAAAUCACUUUCACCCGAAUGAGAUUCCUGAAGAAGGACAAAAUCUGCGUUACUGCGUUUACAAUAUAAAAAUAAAGCUUUCCUUUUUGUAAGAUCUCUCAAAUCCCUAGCAUUCAGACUAACGAUAUUGAGUGAGUUGAAAACGAACUCCUGCGUUAAAAAAGAAAGAACACAAACUAGAUAACAGAAGUAGUAAUGUGAACAAUAAAACAAACAGUGAACCUUCAGAGGAUUACUCUGACGGAAAACUACGCUCAGCUGAGGUAGCGGUGGUUAACAGUAUAACAAAUCUAUUUACUUCCUUUUUUUUCCAGUUGGCAAGUGUUCAUCAGUUGUAGUUCGAACGGUACAUUUACUUGUGUCGGUAAAUUAACUGGACUCUUGGCAGUACUCACAGUUCCAGUUUGGUUAAUGUCAACAGAGUUACCCAGUAAUCAUUCUUCCUUCGAUAAACGUGUGUGGGCCCUUGUACCCAGCCUUCUUUCCCUCUUGUCGUGCCUUCUGUAUAAGAGGCCACAGUUUCUCCCUGGCAGUCUGAUCCUGCGGUAUCAGAGCUGCUUUGAUGCGGAGCUACUUCUCGUCCAGAAACGUGUUCCCUUUGGCCAUUCUCCAGAUGAUGUCCCUGUAAUGGCGCAGAGUUAAGCGCAAUAUGAUAUUGCGAGGGGGUCCAUCAGAUCUUCGUUUCCCAAGUCGAUGUACCACAAUCACAUCUCUUAGCCUGUAUUUGAUGCACGAAGCCACCUUUCCCAGGAUAUGAAUGACCGCUUCCCUAAUAUCCUCUCCCUCUACCUCUUUUACACCUUGGAUUUUCAGAUUCCACCUGCGACAGUACCUUUGACGUUCAGCUACAUUCUCACACAGCUCAUUAUUUUGGGAUUGCAGUUUCUUCAACUCAUUCUCUAGGAACGUUAUCUUUUCCAAAUUAUCGAUCAGAUUUGAAGUUUCUUCGGUAGCCCGCUCUAUGGUGGACACUUUGGAGAGCGUGGCGUCUAUUUUAGUAGACAGGGACUGGAUUGCAGAGAAAAGUUCAGACAUGGAAAUGGCCUCUUACUUUUUUCACCGGUGGAUUUUUAAUUGGGGUCUGGGGUAAAGAGGUUGCAAGGAUUUCAUCCUGGUCAGUUUUGUUCUUUCUCUUGCUUGAGGUCGAGGCUUAUUGAGUAUCCAUGCUGAUCUGGUUCUCGUUGUGGCUAGCUAGCAUGUCUGCCGUCUUCUGUGAGACUUGGAUAUUCCGUCUACUAUUGUCUUUCUGUCGUGUUCUUCCCAUUCAACUUUACAAAAACGAACUCUAAACUUAUCCUAUGUUGCUAAAACAAGUUAUGGUUAGUUUAUUUCAAAAUUGAUAGCCAAUAUUAGACUGUUAACCACCUAACCCUCAAUGUUGCUUAGACGAGCGAGAAAACACUCCCUCUCACAGCGACCCCAUCUUGGCUCCCCUGAGAUGGUGAUGUGAGUACUUCAGGUGAUGCUUCUUGCGUGACGUGUAAUCUAAUGGACGGGAGGUUUCUUCAACAACGACAACAGAUUCAACUACGCGGUAGCUUGCAAUCGAAAAUAAAACCGAAACAUUGAAGCGUUUAAGACCAGCCUUGUGUAUAUUACUCUUUGUGUUUUGAACAUAAUUUUGUUUACCUAUCAUCUAGUUAAUUUAAACGUAAUUUGUUUGUUAAAUUAGCAUAUGUGUUACAUUGAUACUGCACUAGGCCAAUCGCCUGGAACAUGAGCUCACUAAACUCGACGGAGAAAUAAACUCUGGUGAAAGGAGAGGAAGAAGCUUUCAGAAUGAAAAAGGAGGAAGAGGAGGCUAUCACAUUAAAAGAAGAAGAGGAUGAUAUUACAGUGAAAGAGAAAGAUGGGAAAGAGGUUGUCAGAGUGGAAAAGGAGGAGGUAGAAGCUUUCAGAAUCAAAAAGGAGGAAGAUGCGGUAACAUUGAAAGAAGAGGAAGAACCUUUUGGAGUAAAAGAGGAAGAGGAGGUUAUCUCAAUAAAAGAGGAGGAAGACGUUUUGGAAGUGAAAAAGGAGGAGGAGGCUGAAGAUCGGAUUACCACCAGAGAGAGACAUGACUAUUGUGGAUCUUCUGGGGAGCAUCAACAACAUCCUGAUGCUGACUAGACAGAGAAGUGUCUCUCCAGAUCAGAACACCAGAUUGUACAGCUUGGACAACGCUAGCCCUUCUGCCCUCCCAGAGUCCUCGUGUCGUGCCUCUCGCGGUAGCACCUUAAUGCUGGGUAUGAAGAGGUUGUCUGUGCUGCUGGUGGACUGCAGGAAAACAACGGGGCUGAGUGGAACUGUGAGAGGAGGAGAAGAGAAGAAAGGAUCAGAUUUAACUCAUCAAAGAGGAAAUACGGAAGAACCAGAGACAUCCAAACCAGCAAGAUGACACCUCUGCUCCCAGUGUGGAAAAUUUUUUGCCACAUUAGGAACCCUGAAAAGACAUGAGUUGACACACACAGGAGCGAAGCCACACCAUUGCGGCCAGUGUGGAAAGAGUUGUAGCCGCUUAGGACACCUGAAAUCUCAUGAGCAAAUACACACAGGGGAGAUGCCAUAUCAUUGUGCCCACUGUGGAAAGAGUUUUAACCAGUUAGCUAACAUGAAAAAACAUGAGAAAAUACACACAGGAGCGAAGCCACACCAUUGCUCCCAGUGUGGAAAGAGUUUUAACCAGUUAGGACACCUGAAAGCUCAUGAGCGAAUACACACGGGCGAAGCCUUACAAUUGCUCCCAGUGUGGAAAGAGUUUUAACCUGUUAGGAAAGCUGAAAGAACACAUGAGACUGCACACAGGGGAGAAGCCUUACAAAUGCCCAGACUGUGGGAAGACAUAUUACUCAUCAUCGUCACUUAAACGUCAUGUGAGAAUCCACACAGGAGAGAAGAAUUACUUCUCCUAGUGUGUAAAUUGAUAUUUCACAUCACAUUGACUUCAUUACUUCUUCUAGUGUGUAAAUUGAUAUUUCACAUCACAUUGACUUCAUUACUUCUCCUAGUGUGUAACCUUGUAUUUCACAUCACAUUGACUUAAAAUGCAUCGUUGUCUUAUGUUGUUCCUGAGAAUGUGUUUACUUGUUUAUACCAUAUUGAAUUGUGCUAAGUAUACUCAAACAUAUAUUUGUAUGUUUUUAUUAGAAAACUUGAAUUGAAUAUGGAGUAUUUCCGUUUUAAUAUAGAUUAGGUCAGAUUUCACAUGUUUAAAUUGUCUUUUUUUUUUUACUCUGACUGUGUGUGUGUUUAUCUGGGUGUCUUUCCUCCAGCACUACAGAUAAUACAGUGAUAUUUGGAUGUGAUACAUUUUCUCCAUUGUUUACAUUUGCGUUGUUGGCCCACUGAUGAUUUAAUGAAAUGAAAAUGUUCAGACUCUGUAAUGGAAAAUGUUAAUUGUAUGUGUCCACAUAACUGAGUAUGUGACUAACCUUGUGAAACUGUCAUAUUAUAAUCUCCUUUUCUUGGCAGUAUCAUCCUGUGUUGCAAACCAGUUUGCACCUGUGUCCUUGUAUGAAUGAAGUCCCUCCCAGGAAAAGGAAACUAUAAAGUUAUGUGCUCAUCACCCAAUGCUUCAGGAAUUCAGACUGUACACUGUGCUGUGCAACUCUGUUAUUCUCUCUGAGCUCAGAAAUAAAGACUCUUGGUUUGACUUGGACUCCAGCAGAUCCUUAUUUUAUAAUAUCCACCACAACUCGCCCACGGAUUGCUGUUUAUCAUUGUCUCAAUGAAGAGUUCCUUGUUCCACUUUCCUGGGGGAAUGUGCAAGCCUCCCACUGGUUGAAUAAACGUUGUUUCCACAUCAUUUCAACAAAAC